UACGUAGGGCGCAAGCGUUGUCCGGAAUUAUUGGGCGUAAAGAGCUCGUAGGCGGUCUGUCGCGUCGGAUGUGAAAGCCCGGGGCUUAACCCCGGGUCUGCAUUCGAUACGGGCAGACUAGAGUGUGGUAGGGGAGAUCGGAAUUCCUGGUGUAGCGGUGAAAUGCGCAGAUAUCAGGAGGAACACCGAUGGCGAAGGCAGGUCUCUGGGCCACUACUGACGCUGAGAAGCGAAAGCGUGGGGAGCGAACAGG
rnacentral:rRNA from 1 species